CCAAAGCUGGCGACCGGCGCACGGGUGAGUAACACGUAUCCAACCUGCCGAUAACUCGGGGAUAGCCUUUCGAAAGAAAGAUUAAUACCCGAUGGCAUAAUUAGACCGCAUGGUCUUAUUAUUAAAGAAUUUCGGUUAUCGAUGGGGAUGCGUUCCAUUAGGCAGUUGGUGAGGUAACGGCUCACCAAACCUUCGAUGGAUAGGGGUUCUGAGAGGAAGGUCCCCCACAUUGGAACUGAGACACGGUCCAA
rnacentral:rRNA from 1 species